rnacentral:rRNA from 1 species
UACGAAGGGGGCUAGCGUUGUUCGGAAUUCCUGGGCGUAAAGGGCGCGUAGGCGGUACUUCAAGGCAGGCGUGAAAGCCCCGGGCUCAACCUGGGAACCGCGCUUGAGACUGGAGAACUAGAGUUCGGGAGAGGAUGGUGGAAUUCCCAGUGUAGAGGUGAAAUUCGUAGAUAUUGGGAAGAACACCGAUGGCGAAGGCAGCCAUCUGGACCGACACUGACGCUGAGGCGCGAAAGCGUGGGGAGCAAACAGG